rnacentral:rRNA from 1 species
AGACGGAGGGUGCAAGCGUUAAUCGGAAUUACUGGGCGUAAAGCGCUCGUAGGCGGCUUGUUAAGUCGGAUGCGAAAGCCCCGGGCUCAACCUGGGAACUGCAUUCGAUACUGGCAGGCUAGAGUAUAGUAGAGGCAAGUGGAAUUCCGGGUGUAGCGGUGAAAUGCGUAGAUAUCCGGAGGAACAUCAGUGGCGAAGGCGACUUGCUGGACUAAUACUGACGCUGAGGAGCGAAAGCGUGGGGAGCAAACGGGAUUAGAAACCCGGGUAGUCC